AUGUGGAAUGCUUACACUAUAGGCAUGAGAAGCACACAAUUAAGUGAGAGCUUGAACAGGGACUUGAAAGACCAUCUAAAGUCUGAUCUUGACAUCCUUCGGUUUUUCAAGCACGUAGAGAGGGUUGUGCAAGGGAAAAGAGAUAACGAGGUAAAUGAGGAAUAUGAGUCUAGGAAAAAAUUACCUAGAGUCAGAAUGAGGACUCCUAUGGUAAUACAAGCGAGCAAAGUUUACACACCACGCAUAUUUGAAGAUUUUCAGAAUGAAUAUGAAAGAUCUAUCUCAGCAUACAUCAAGCCAUCGAUAGAACACAAUGCAUAUAUUGUUGCAAUUGCAAGUCUUGACCCAGAAUUCACAUAUGAAGAAGAGUGCAAAGUUGUAGUUGAUUAUGAAGAGCAAAAAGUUUUCUGCGAUUGUGGGAAAUUUGAAAGAGUUGGUAUAUUGUGUAGUCAUGCUUUGAAAGCACUUGAUGUCAUGAAUAUUAAGUACCUUCCAGGCCACUAUAUUCUGAAGCGAUGGACUAGAGAAGCGCGAAGCGGCACUAUACAAAACAGCCAUGGAAACAUUGUUUUGGAAGAUCCUAGAUCAGAUGAUAGACAACAGCUGAAGUUUUUCAUGCACGAGUUCCUUGGCAUAGCUUCACAAGCAGUUACAUCAGAAGAGUGUAUCAAACUAGUAGAUGAUGCUUUGAAGAAUCUCAGGAAGCAAGUUGAAGAGAAAGCUCGUACUACUACGUGCAGAACUGAAGAUAUAUCUAAAGAACCAGACGAUUGUUUAAAGGAUGCUUGCCUAAAGAAAAAGGAAAUUCCAAAGAAAAAUUCAAGAAGAAAGAAAUCAUGGCUUGACAAUCAGCACCCAAAUAAAAAGAAGAAGGAGACAACUAAAGCGGUACCCAAAAAUCAAAAUCAUUGUGUAAAUCUCUUGCACCUGUCUAACCGGACUACUUAUUAA
rnacentral:rRNA from 1 species